rnacentral:misc_RNA from 1 species
UCUCUGUUGGUGAACCAGCGGAGGGAUCAUUAUCGAGUUUAUAACUCCCAAACCCUAUGUGAACUUACCACUUGUUGCUUCGGCGCGCGCUUCGGUGCCGCCGAGGACACUUAAACUCUUUGUUUUUAUAAGCAUUUCUGAGUGGCCGAAAGGCAAAAUACAAAUGAAUCAAAACUCUCAACAACGGAUCUCUUGGUUCUG